rnacentral:lncRNA from 1 species
AAACUGGGACUGUUGGCCGGGUUCAGUGGCUCACGCCUGUAAUCCCAGCACUUUCGGAGGCCGAGGCAGGCAGAUUACCUGAGGUCGGGACUUCAAGACCAGUCUCACCAAUAUGGUGAAACUCUGUUUCUACUAAAAAUACAAAAUUAGCCAGGCAUGGGGGCGCAUACCUGUAAUCCCAGCUACUCGGGAGGCUGAGGCAGGAAACGCUUGUGGUGAGUCGAGAUCACACCACUGCACUCCAGCCUGGGCAACAAGAGUGAAACUCUGUCUCAAAAAAAAUAAUAACAAAAAAAACCCCAAAAAACUGGGACUAUCUCUGCAAGUGUGAGAUAUACAUGGUCACCAGAGACAUGCAUGAUUACAGCUGGAGGAAUGGUUAAGAGCAAAAACCAGAGGGAGGCCAAGCAUGUGUCUCCUGCCUGUAAUCCCAUGACUUUGGAAGGCUGAGGCGGGAGAAUCACUUGAGCCCAGGAGUUUGAGACAGUCUGGA